rnacentral:lncRNA from 1 species
CUCAUAUUUCAGAACUAUCAUCAGCAUAAAUGAGGAGAAUCAGUGUAAGAGGUGGAACUGAUUCAGAACCAUAAACUUUGGAACCCAGAAGGAUCUUGGAGUUCUCAUUCAGUGAUUUUUCACAGAAGAGAAAGAUUGGAGCUGCUGCCCAAAGGAUUGGAAGUCAUUUAGUUCCAACUGCUACUUUUAUUUCUACUACACCAAGAAAUUGGACUGAGAGUGAGAGGAACAGCUCAGAAAUGAAGGCUGACCUGCUGGUGAUUAACACCAAGGAUGAACAGAUUUUGGCACUCAGGUGAACCCAGUAAUCUUGAUGAGCAUUGUGUCAUGCUACAUUUUCAUUAUUUUUCAAGACAAUGGGGCUGGAAUGAUGUUCCUUGUAAUGGACACCACAAGUUGCUUUGCAAGAUGAAGAAGAUCUACUUAUGAAUGGGAACAUUCUACAUAAAACUGUGGUUGAAUUGGUACCCACCAUUACAGAGAUAGCUAAUUUGCUCUUUUUAGUCAUGUGUUAGUCUUGUGUAAGGAAUCUCCAUAGCAUUUUUCAGUAGGCUGUCACCUAUUCCAUUUAUGAUAGAAUCAGUGUGCACAUCCAUUCAUUUGUUCCUUCGUGUGUAGAGACCCUUUUGCAGACACAUGGAGCAUGAAAAUUCUUUUCUAAUUUUUGUCUGAGUGCUAAGGAGUUAGAGAUUGAUAUAUGAUGAGGUUCCUCCAUCUGUCUGGAUUUUUUUUUUCUCAUGAGGUUGGUCAAAAGCAAAAUAAUUCCAACUAUUACUUUCCAUUUCUCUCAGAUAUAUUUAUUACUUUUAACUGAAGCGUAUUAUGUGACAGUUUGGAUAUAAUACACAUCAAUGGAAGUUAAGUUCCAGCUUUGUCCCAGUAGAAUAUUUGGAGAUCUUAACAUUCUCUGAUCAGUCUUGGACUUUAUUUAACAUCAGGGUACAGUCAAAGGGAAAUCAGAAAUUGAAUAUUAGAGAUUUAGAAUUAGAAGUUAUUACUAGUGAGUUGACAUGGAUUUAUAGUCGUUAGGUAUUCUAAUAGUUUUUUUUCUUUGCUUAAGUUUUAUAAGGUUUCUAUGUGUAGAUUGCCACUCAAAAUAGCUCACGGUUUGUUUGUGUUCCCCUUUUCACUGAAGUUCUUACUGAUCAUUUUGUUUCUGCUACAAUAUACAAGUAUAUCAAAUUUACAAAAAAGUCUGUUAUUCAUUACUUUCAUAUGCUAAUUAUAAUUGAUCAGAAUAAAGCUGAUUUUAGGCAUGGCUC